UACGUAGGGGGCAAGCGUUGUCCGGAUUUAUUGGGCGUAAAGAGCUCGUAGGCGGCUCGGUAAGUCAGGUGUGAAAACUCUAGGCUCAACCUAGAGACGCCACCUGAUACUGCUGUGGCUAGAGUCCGGUAGGGGAGCAUGGAAUUCCUGGUGUAGCGGUGAAAUGCGCAGAUAUCAGGAGGAACACCCGUGGCGAAGGCGGCUCUCUGGGACGGUACUGACGCUGAGACGCGAAAGCGUGGGGAGCGAACAGG
rnacentral:rRNA from 1 species